rnacentral:rRNA from 1 species
GCCCUUCAGCAGCCGCGGUAAUACGUAGGGUGCAAGCGUUAAUCGGAAUUACUGGGCGUAAAGCGUGCGCAGGCGGUUAUGCAAGACAGAUGUGAAAUCCCCGGGCUCAACCUGGGAACUGCAUUUGUGACUGCAUAGCUAGAGUACGGUAGAGGGGGAUGGAAUUCCACGUGUAGCAGUGAAAUGCGUAGAUAUGUGGAGGAACACCGAUGGCGAAGGCAAUCCCCUGGACCUGUACUGACGCUCAUGCACGAAAGCGUGGGGAGCAAACAGGAUUAGAUACCCUGGUAGUCCACGCCCUAAACGAUGUCAACUGGUUGUUGGGAGGGUUUCUUCUCAGUAACGUAGCUAACGCGUGAAGUUGACCGCCUGGGGAGUACGGCCCGCCAAGGUUGAAAACUCAAAAGNAUUUNACGNAAGGGGGAAUUUUCCNGAUACCCAUCACANUGGCGCCCGNNGGGNC